rnacentral:rRNA from 1 species
CGAAGGGAAACCGAGUCUUAACUGGGCGUUAAGUUGCAGGGUAUAGACCCGAAACCCGGUGAUCUAGCCAUGGGCAGGUUGAAGGUUGGGUAACACUAACUGGAGGACCGAACCGACUAAUGUUGAAAAAUUAGCGGAUGACUUGUGGCUGGGGGUGAAAGGCCAAUCAAACCGGGAGAUAGCUGGUUCUCCCCGAAAGCUAUUUAGGUAGCGCCUCGUGAAUUCAUCUCCGGGGGUAGAGCACUGUUUCGGCAAGGGGGUCAUCCCGACUUACCAACCCGAUGCAAACUGCGAAUACCGGAGAAUGUUAUCACGGGAGACACACGGCGGGUGCUAACGUCCGUCGUGAAGAGGGAAACAACCCAGACCGCCAGCUAAGGUCCCAAAGUCAUGGUUAAGUGGGAAACGAUGUGGGAAGGCCCAGACAGCCAGGAUGUUGGCUUAGAAGCAGCCAUCAUUUAAAGAAAGCGUAAUAGCUCACUGGUCGAGUCGGCCUGCGCGGAAGAUGUAACGGGGCUAAACCAUGCACCGAAGCUGCGGCAGCGACGCUGAUGCGUUGUUGGGUAGGGGAGCGUUCUGUAAGCCUGCGAAGGUGUGCUGUGAGGCAUGCUGGAGGUAUCAGAAGUGCGAAUGCUGACAUAAGUAACGAUAAAGCGGGUGAAAAGCCCGCUCGCCGGAAGACCAAGGGUUCCUGUCCAACGUUAAUCGGGGCAGGGUGAGUCGACCCCUAAGGCGAGGCCGAAAGGCGUAGUCGAUGGGAAACAGGUUAAUAUUCCUGUACUUGGUGUUACUGCGAAGGGGGGACGGAGAAGGCUAUGUUGGCCGGGCGACGGUUGUCCCGGUUUAAGCGUGUAGGCUGGUUUUCCAGGCAAAUCCGGAAAAUCAAGGCUGAGGCGUGAUGACGAGGCACUGCGGUGCUGAAGCAACAAAUGCCCUGCUUCCAGGAAAAGCCUCUAAGCAUCAGGUAACAUCAAAUCGUACCCCAAACCGACACAGGUGGUCAGGUAGAGAAUACCAAGGCGCUUGAGAGAACUCGGGUGAAGGAACUAGGCAAAAUGGUGCCGUAACUUCGGGAGAAGGCACGCUGAUAUGUAGGUGAAGUCCCUCGCGGAUGGAGCUGAAAUCAGUCGAAGAUACCAGCUGGCUGCAACUGUUUAUUAAAAACACAGCACUGUGCAAACACGAAAGUGGACGUAUACGGUGUGACGCCUGCCCGGUGCCGGAAGGUUAAUUGAUGGGGUUAGCGCAAGCGAAGCUCUUGAUCGAAGCCCCGGUAAACGGCGGCCGUAACUAUAACGGUCCUAAGGUAGCGAAAUUCCUUGUCGGGUAAGUUCCGACCUGCACGAAUGGCGUAAUGAUGGCCAGGCUGUCUCCACCCGAGACUCAGUGAAAUUGAACUCGCUGUGAAGAUGCAGUGUACCCGCGGCAAGACGGAAAGACCCCGUGAACCUUUACUAUAGCUUGACACUGAACAUUGAGCCUUGAUGUGUAGGAUAGGUGGGAGGCUUUGAAGUGUGGACGCCAGUCUGCAUGGAGCCGACCUUGAAAUACCACCCUUUAAUGUUUGAUGUUCUAACGUUGACCCGUAAUCCGGGUUGCGGACAGUGUCUGGUGGGUAGUUUGACUGGGGCGGUCUCCUCCUAAAGAGUAACGGAGGAGCACGAAGGUUGGCUAAUCCUGGUCGGACAUCAGGAGGUUAGUGCAAUGGCAUAAGCCAGCUUGACUGCGAGCGUGACGGCGCGAGCAGGUGCGAAAGCAGGUCAUAGUGAUCCGGUGGUUCUGAAUGGAAGGGCCAUCGCUCAACGGAUAAAAGGUACUCCGGGGAUAACAGGCUGAUACCGCCCAAGAGUUCAUAUCGACGGCGGUGUUUGGCACCUCGAUGUCGGCUCAUCACAUCCUGGGGCUGAAGUAGGUCCCAAGGGUAUGGCUGUUCGCCAUUUAAAGUGGUACGCGAGCUGGGUUUAGAACGUCGUGAGACAGUUCGGUCCCUAUCUGCCGUGGGCGCUGGAGAACUGAGGGGGGCUGCUCCUAGUACGAGAGGACCGGAGUGGACGCAUCACUGGUGUUCGGGUUGUCAUGCCAAUGGCACUGCCCGGU